rnacentral:rRNA from 1 species
ACCAAAGCUAGCCUAAUUUUCUACACCCCCCCCCCCCAAUAAAUCUACAAACCCAACUAAAACAUUCACCAAUAAUAACUAAUAGUAUAGGAGAUAGAAACUUCACCCAGCGCUAUAGAAAAAGUACCGCAAGGGAAAGAUGAAAGAACACCUCAAAGUUCAUAAAAGCAAAGCUUACCCCUUGUACCUUUUGCAUAAUGACCUAACUAGAACAAUCUGACAAAAAGAAUUUAAGCCAGUACACCCGAAACCAAACGAGCUACUCACGAAUAAUUACUUAAGAACCAACUCAUCUAUGUAGCAAAAUAGUGAGAAAAUUCAUGAGUAGAGGUGAAAAGCCUAACGAGCUUGGCGAUAGCUGGUUACUCAGAAAGGAAUUUCAGUUCAGCCUCAAGUUAACCUAAAGUGACUCACCAAACCCCCUGUUAACUUAAACGUUAGUCUAAAGAGGGACAGCUCUUUAGAAUAGGCUACAACCUUCAGUAGAGAGUAAUCAAACCUCAACCCACAGUUGGCCUAAAAGCAGCCACCAAUUAAGAAAGCGUUCAAGCUCAAUAUAUAAUACACUUUAAUUUACAAACUAUACAACAACCUCCUACCAAAUAACUGAGUUAUUCUAUUACUAGAUAGAAGCAAUACUGUUAAUAUAAGUAACAAGAAUUUCCAUUCUCCCAGCACGAGCUUAUACCAGACCGGAUGCCCACUGGUAGUUAACAACAAAAUAAAACUACUCACCCCACAAAUCCAUUACUAAAAAACAUUGUUAACCCAACACAGGCGUGCACCAAGGAAAGAUUAAAAAAAGUAAAAGGAACUAGGCAAAACCUAACCCCGCCUGUUUACCAAAAACAUCACCUCCAGCAUUACCAAUAUUGGAGGCACUGCCUGCCCAGUGACACACGUUUAACGGCCGCGGUAUCCUGACCGUGCAAAGGUAGCAUAAUCACUUGUCCUCUAACUAAGGGCUAGAAUGAACGGCCACACGAGGGUUAAACUGUCUCUUACUUUCAAUCAGUGAAAUUGACCUUCCCGUGAAGAGGCGGGAAUAUAUCAAUAAGACGAGAAGACCCUAUGGAGCUUAAAUUAAUUAGCCCAAAUAAGUACAUCCAAAUGCCCAAUAAGGUAUAAAUAAUUACUACCCCUGAGCUAAAAAUUUCGGUUGGGGUGACCUCGGAGCAUAACUAAACCUCCGAACAAUCCAGCUUAGAUAUUACCAGUCAAGGCAUUAACAAAUCAACUGAUCCAAAUUAGCUUGAUCAACGGAACAAGUUACCCUAGGGAUAACAGCGCAAUCCUAUUACAGAGUUCAUAUCGACAAUAGGGUUUACGACCUCGAUGUUGGAUCAGGACACCCCAGUGGUGCAACCGCUACUAACGGUCCGUUUGUUCAACGGUUAAAGUCCUACGUGAUCUGAGUUCAGACCGGAGCAAUCCAGGUCGGUUUCUAUCUAUUUACAAUUUCUCCCAGUACGAAAGGACAAGAGAAGUAAAGCCAACUCAACAGAGUGCUCUCAGCUUUAACAGAUGAUAAACUCUUAAUCUAAUAACCUACUCUAUACCCUACCCAAAACAAGGGUUU